AAACUUUAGAUCUGCUUGACAGCAGUGGCAGCACCAGCUUCUGCAGAGUAGGAGAGUAAUGGCAGAGUAGGAGGGUAAUGGGUGAGAGUAAGACCAUGCCCUUUUUGCCUUGUUUCAGUGCAUUGCAGCAGGUGAAUUUUUCCUAGAUGAAAAUCUGAUCUACCCCCACCUAAUGCUUUUUAAUCAAUUUCUAGAAAAAAUAUGUUGUCCAUGUUUUGGCAAAAGUGGGAGGGGGUAGUUACCCUAUAGAGGUUUUUUAAGAGAUCUCUAUACUUAAAAUAAAUGGAACGAACUCACUGCUUGAGAAUUCAAAUAAAUAAACAAAUCUUUCAUUUCUCCAUCUCAAUUUCAUUCCUCGAUCCUUACUAACUGAACUAUCGCACACCAUAACAUAAACUUACAUAAACUAUACUGUUUCCAUGGAUAUGAGUUAAUGUGCAGUGCAAUUAGAAACAACAAAGAGUAUAUGAACAUCGCAAAACAAGCAACUGCUAGAAAUGAGCGACGUUGCUAAAACGAGGAACAAGCGGAACAAGAGGAACAACCCAGUAACAACCCAGUAACAAGCGGAACAACCAAGGAACAAGCAGAACAACCCAGAAACAAGCGGAAAUGUGAAUUAUUGUUUAGUAAAUACCACAUGGGGGCGUUUAUAAUCCAACUCUCUGAAGUUCGUGUGGGCUAGAACUAUCAAGAGGCCGUCAAUCAUGUCUUCGUCUGUUUCGGAGGCUUUGUGAUUUUGCCAACGGACAGAGAGAAUCUAUCGACCCCGGAUCGGGACGAAAAAUAAAUAGUAAAGCAUGCGUAUACAUUCGAUCACAACAGACACACUGUUGUAAAUAGAUGUGCAUGCCAUAGUGUAAAUCUGUACAUGUAGCCCUGUUGCAAUCACAUUUUUCAGGCCCGUCGGAGCCGGGGGGCUGGGGGGGGGGUUUCUGAAGCCCCACCAAUAAUUGUCUUACUGUAGUAUGUUUCCUUUAUAACAAUGUACUGCAUGGGAAGGAAUAUAAUGGGCAGCCUCUUACAACUUAUAAUUUGGAUUAAAGAAGAGGUUAACUUUCCGCCUCAAUCAAAAUGAUUCUAGGCAAACCAUCAGUUUCCUGGUUCCUGGAUUUUCCGACUUUUAUCCCACGACAGGGCAUGAUUUUUCUUGUAGGCAUAUCAAUGUCAUUUUUCUCCCCAGGCGAUUGAAUGGCGCAAUAUCGUGAAAUUUUGAUGGUAGGGUGACAAACACGCAACCGAUGUUUGGCGUUUCCAUCAUCAUCAUCAUAAAAAAAUUUAUUUAUCUAAAUAAAUAUAGUUGAAGAGCCAUAAUACACUCUAAAUACAAUCAUAUCUAAGUACACAAAAUAUAACGACAUCAGAAAUAUUAAAUAAAUAUUUUGACAUAUUCAGAUAUUCUUAUUUUCAUUUAGCUUUAAAUUCUUUCCUAUAAAACAUGGCAAGUAGAUAAACAUUUCCAGAAGACCAGAGGUUUUCCGACAAAAUAGGAGUCUAGCUCGAGGGGCAAAUCACUCCAAGAAAAUCUUGUACACCUUUUAUAAAAAUCCUAUUGCUUUAAUCCCUACCCUUUUGAAUAGUAAUGUAGUUAAAUUACAAUCUCAAAUUAUUAACAAUUUGCCCCAAAGACGGUUGCCAAGAAAUGAAAUAUUACUUAGUGCCUGAUAGUGGCUAACUAUGUAGAAAAACCUUAUUCCAGGAAGUGGGCUUGCUAGGUGCACCAGCCCUUGUACUGCCUGGAGAAUACCGAUUUUUAAGGUCGGUGUCACCACUGGGAACAUUUUCCCGCCCACAGAACACAUUUGAUGUGUUCCCACCAGACACCGAUCUCUACUACCUUCCUUCUGACCUACUUAGAACUUGAAAUCUAUCACCCACCAGCUGAAACAAGCAAAGCGCAGAGUGAAGGAAGCGAGAAGAAGAAGUGGAUCAGAAUGCAGAGCAGAACAAAGAAUAGGAGACUUACAGGACAGGCAGCAAGAUCGCGGACCUUGAAGAGCAAUCAUCCACUUGAAGGCUGGCAAUAAAAAAGGCUGGAUGACAUAGUUAGCACCCAAAAAAAUAACAAAUAUAAUAGCGCAAGAUCGCGGACCUUGCUGAGCAAUCAGCCACUUGGAGGCUGGUAACAAAAAGGUUGGAUGACACAGUUAGCACCCAAAAAAUAACAAAUAUAAUAGCGCAAGAUCGCGGAUCUUGCUGAGCAAUAAGCCAUUGGAUGGCUUGCAACCAAUAACACUGGGUACUCGGCUAGCACCCGCAUAAUGCAAGUUCAUGGACCUUGCUAAGCAAUCAGCCACUUGAAGGCUGGUAACAAAAAGGUUGGAUGACACAGUUAGCACCCAAAAAAUAACAAAUAUAAUAGCGCAAGAUCGCGGAUCUUGCUGAGCAAUCAGCCACUUGAAGGCUGGUAACAAAAAGGUUGGAUGACACAGUUAGCACCCAAAAAAUAACAAAUAUAAUAGCGCAAGAUCGCGGAUCUUGCUGAGCAAUAAGCCAUUGGAUGGCUUGCAAGCAAUAACACUGGGUACUCGGCUAGCACCCGCAUAAUGCAAGUUCAUGGACCUUGCUAAGCAAUCAGCCACUCGAUGGCUGGCAAUAAAAAGGUUGGAUGACACAGUUAGCACCCAAAAAUAACAAAUAUAAUAGCGCAAGAUCGCGGACCUUGCUGAGCAAUCAGCCACUUGAAGGCUGGCAAUAAAAAGGUUGGAUGACACAGUUAGCACCCAAAAAAUAACAAAUAUAAUAGCGCAAGAUCACGGAUCUUGCUGAGCAAUAAGCCAUUGGAUGGCUUGCAAGCAAUAACACUGGGUACUCGGCUAGCACCCGCAUAAUGCAAGUUCAUGGACCUUGCUAAGCAAUCAGCCACUCGAUGGCUGGCAAUAAAAAGGUUGGAUGACACAGUUAGCACCCAAAAAAAUAACAAAUACAAUAGCGCAAGAUCGCGGACCUUGCUGAGCAAUCAGCCACUUGAAGGCUGGCAAUAAAAAGGUUGGAUGACACAGUUAGCACCCAAAAAAAUAACAAAUCUAAUAGCGCAAGAUCACGGAUCUUGCUGAGCAAUAAGCCAUUGGAUGGCUUGCAACCAAUAACACUGGGUACUCGGCUAGCACCCGCAUAAUGCAAGUUCAUGGACCUUGCUAAGCAAUCAGCCACUCGAAGGCUGGCAAUAAAAAGGUUGGAUGACACAGUUAGCACCCAAAAAAAUAACAAAUACAAUAGCGCAAGAUCGCGGACCUUGCUGAGCAAUCAGCCACUUGAAGGCUGGCAAUAAAAAAGAUUGGAUGACACAGUUAGCACCCAUAAAAAUAACAAAUAUAAUAGCGCAAGAUCACGGAUCUUGCUGAGCAAUAAGCCAUUGGAUGGCUUGCAACCAAUAACACUGGGUACUCGGCUAGCACCCGCAUAAUGCAAGUUCAUGGACCUUGCUAAGCAAUCAGCCACUCGAUGGCUGGCAAUAAAAAGGUUGGAUGACACAGUUAGCACCCAAAAAAUAACAAAUAUAAUAGCGCAAGAUCACGGAUCUUGCUGAGCAAUAAGCCAUUGGAUGGCUUGCAACCAAUAACACUGGGUACUCGGCUAGCACCCGCAUAAUGCAAGUUCAUGGACCUUGCUAAGCAAUCAGCCACUCGAUGGCUGGCAAUAAAAAGGUUGGAUGACACAGUUAGCACCCAAAAAAUAACAAAUAUAAUAGCGCAAGAUCGCGGACCUUGCUGAGCAAUAAGCCAUUGGAUGGCUUGAAGCAAUAACACUGGGUACUCGGCUAGCACCCGCAUAAUGCAAGUUCAUGGACCUUGCUAAGCAAUCAGCCACUCGAUGGCUGGCAAUAAAAAGGUUGGAUGACACAGUUAGCACCCAAAAAAUAACAAAUAUAAUAGCGCAAGAUCGCGGACCUUGCUGAGCAAUAACCCAUUGGAUGGCUUGCAAGCAAUAACACUGGGUAUUCGGCUAGCACCCGCAUAAUGCAAGUUCAUGGACUUUGCUAAGCAAUCAGCCACUCGAUGGCUGGCAAUAAAAGUUGGCAAUCUUGCUGAGCAAUGAGCAAUCUGAAAGCUUGCAAGCUAAAACACUGGGUACUCGGCUAGCACCCGCAUAAAGCAAGAUCACGGAUUAAAGGUUGAAAGGGCACAGUUAACACACAAAAUUAACAAAAUGUAAUAGUGCAAGAUCACAGAUCUUGCUGAGCAAUAAGCCAUUUGAUGGCUUGCAAUAACAUGUUUUAAUGACACAGUUAGCACACAAAAUCACAAAUAAUAAUAACAUUGCAAGAUCUUGGGGCCUGCUGAGCAAGCAGACAUUCAACUUCUGACAAUAAAAAUGCUAGACGAUACAGUUUGCACCCAAAAAUCACAAACAAUUAAUUUAGCAAGAUCACAGACCUUGCUGAGCAACAAGCCAUUAGAUGGCUUGCAAGUAAUAAACACUUGGUAUUCAGCUCGGACCUACCUAAUGCAGAUAAACUUUAACUUGAAAGCAAGCAGUCAUUUAAUGGCAGGGUUGCUGAUGAACAACUACUGGAUGACACAGUUGACACCCAAAAAUAACAAGGACUAAACACUGGCUUGUAGUGACAUCAUAAUGGGCGGCACAGCUGGGACACAAGAAAACAAUACAAGAUCAACCAGACCUUACUAAGCAAUAAGCGAUACAAUGGCUUGUAAAAAUAUAAUACUAGAAGACACCCCAGAUAUAAUUAACGAUUAACCAAUGGUUGAUAAGGGAAGAUAAUUCCACCACAUGGCUUGUAAUGAUAAAAUAUUGGGUGAAACAGCUAGCACCCAAACAAAACUCAACCAGAUCCUGAUAAGUUAAGCAACAUUUAAGCUUGCAAUAAUAACACACUGGGGGCCCUGCUAGCACCCAAAUGACAAGAGCAAUACCAACCCAAUCUCGAUAAGCAAAAGGACACAUCAUUAGCAACAAACAUAUGCUUGCCUGUAAUUAUCAAAAACUAAGUCACACAAGUAGCGCUUUAAGACAGAACAAACAAACAAAAUUGCAGGACCAUUGCAAGUAUGUUCAACCUCCCAUCCCACUGAAAAGCUGUACAGGGAAACCCUAUGAGCUUCGUUAGACUUACAUUAUCCCAAACAGGACACACGUUGAUAACAAUGAUAAUUAGCUGAAGAGUUUCACUCCAAUCUAAAUAUUGGUAUUAUCAUUAUUAUUAUUAUUAUUAUCGUUAUUUUUAUUAUUACUACCAUUAAACAUUUCUAUCUGCUGCACCUACAAUAUCUUCUGUGGUCAAAACAAACCAUGGCUAAGCCCCAAACUGAUUGACUUCUAAAUAUUGUAAAGCAGAUUACCCAUUUAUAUCUUUAUUAUUAUCCACCAGAUUUUGAAAGUAGAUCUACACUUUGGUUUGCAAUAGUAACAUUUGUGACGCAGUGUGCCCACAAACAAUACUGCAAGAUCAGCAGAAUUUGCUAUGGGAAAAAACUAUGACAUGUCCGACAUUUUUUUAUUAUUUUUUUUUUAUUUUUUUUUUUUUUUUUUUUUUUUUUUUAUUUUUGGAUAGCACAGUUAGCACUCCAACAAUAAUGCAAGAUCAACCGGAUCUUGAUAAGUAGAAGCCACAACGUGGCUUUCAAUAGAAUACUUGGCGAUACAGGGAGCAGCCAAACAAUACUGCAAGAUCAGCAUAACUUUGAGUUGUAAUGAGCCACAGUGAAACUUGUAAAGCCAUAUACUGGGAGUGCACAUUAGCACCCAACAACUAUAAUACCAGAUCAGCCAGAUGUUGAUUAGCAAAAGACAUAAGGUACUAAAUUAAUUGGUAACACCCAAUGAUAAUGCAAGAUCGGCUUGAUUUGGAGAAAAACAAUACAGGAACUACAAGGCAAUCAUAUAUUAUUCUCAACUUUGGAGCAGUGACUAACUAUUUAGCAGUAAUUCUUCUUAAAUUAUGACAGAUACACAGUAGAUAUUCUCCCCUGGUCUUGUGUUAAACAAUUUGCAUUUUUUGCGAGUUUAACCCUUAUGGUAUGGUAGGGUAUUCGUGUGUAUCUUCCAUGUAACUUUAUUUUAAAAUAAACGUGCAGAGUUUUAGAAUAACCCAUCUGCUGCCCUAGAAUAACCCAACAUCUAAACUGCAAUGGAAGGUCAGCCUCACAUCUUAAGCAGUGAGCUAUCUGAUAACACCAAACAAGGCAGAUGACCUCAGGAAGGCUAUGUAAUACCAACCUAUAUUGUGAUAAGCAGAAACCCAAUACGACGGAGCUUUGCUAAACAGCCAGAUUCAAGAUCUGCCAGAGAGCCAUAUAUAACAAAAACUUUAAACAAAGGAAUUGCAUCAUAUAAACUGUAGGCGAGUAGCUAGUACCCACGACCAGAAAAAACAAAAA